rnacentral:rRNA from 1 species
AACGAACGCUGGCGGCAUGCCUAACACAUGCAAGUCGAACGAGACCUUCGGGUCUAGUGGCGCACGGGUGCGUAACGCGUGGGAAUCUGCCCUUGGGUUCGGAAUAACAGUUGGAAACGACUGCUAAUACCGGAUGAUGACGUAAGUCCAAGAUUUAUCGCCCAGGGAUGAGCCCGCGUAGGAUUAGCUAGUUGGUGGGGUAAAGGCCUACCAAGGCGACGAUCCUUAGCUGGUCUGAGAGGAUGAUCAGCCACACUGGGACUGAGACACGGCCCAGACUCCUACGGGAGGCAGCAGUGGGGAAUAUUGGACAAUGGGCGAAAGCCUGAUCCAGCAAUGCCGCGUGAGUGAUGAAGGCCUUAGGGUUGUAAAACUCUUUUACCCGGGAUGAUAAUGACAGUACCGGGAGAAUAAGCCCCGGCUAACUCCGUG